AUGGGAUUAGUUUUGAGUUUCAAAGAGUCUGGGCUCUUCGACUUUUUGUUUUCCGUAUUUAGUUUUUAUAGGGUCCGACUCUAUAGGGUUCGGUUUUGAUACAUUACGAAAUAUCCAAACACAUGUCAAUCAGUAAUGAUAAGUAUUUAUUUUUUAUCCAACAAUCCAAAACAUGAAUAUAAAGUGUAAUAUGAAGUCCGUAGGCCAUGCAUAGUGGAGAGGUGAAAGGAGGUUUUGGGGCGCUAUACACUAUAAGAAAAGAAUACCUUUAGCGGCGACCGCAAUAGUGGCGACAGACCAAACGUCGCCGCUAUUGGUCGAUCUGUGUCCCACCACCUAACAUCAAUCCCCAGCCGUUGAUCCUUACCCUGAUCCAACGGUUGGGGACUUAAGAACCAAUAGCGGCGACAGGAAUUAGGGCAUUAGCGGCGACCCAUUAUCUCCGCUAAAGAACUGUGGACCCUCAUUCAAACCAGUAGCGGCGACGGUGAACUAAUAGCGGCGACAAGCUGUCGCCGGUAAUACUCGAACGAAAUAAACCUUUUACAGCGGGCUUUUUUCCCUCUUUCCUCACUUUCCCCCUUUUCUUCUUCUCUCAAGCGACGGAUUCCGGCAAAUUUCUUCAAAUCGAGAAAUCGGCUCACCACCAUCACCUCUCCGGUUACCACCAUUACUUCUCCGGUCACCACCUCGUCUCCGCGG
rnacentral:lncRNA from 1 species